rnacentral:lncRNA from 1 species
AGAAAGUCAAAAGUAGAAAUCAGAAAGUUACAUUUUCCUUCUCCCCUCCCCCUCCCGCACUCGUUUCAACCAGCGGACUUCGCCGUCUUUGUUCGCCACCGUCCGGCGGAGUUAGACCAUCAUACCGGUCCGGAUCUGAAGCUCAACUCCUUCUCCAUAGAUCUAGGUACCUUGCCAGAAUGGUAUCGCCACCGUUUGAAAGAAAUCCGGGCAAGAAACGGCAACUGCACAGUGAAUUUCCCUUCAUCGGAACUCUCUCCUCCGGCCACCAUAGCCAGAGCUUCUUAUCCCGUUUGGAAUGUCUCAUCCCGGGUAGCAAACCCUUAAAAGGAUUCAACCUAAUUCGAGCUAGGUAAGGAGAAUCGAAGGUUUGAAGUUCCAGGGUUUUCAAAUUGGGUUUUUCUGUUUUUCCUUCGAUUGGCAUGUUUAAACUUGAAAUUGAUCUUCGGGCUAGUUAUGAAAGUUGUUUAGAAUGUUGAGAGGAAGAUUGUGUUAAAUUUUGGUGGCGAUCGGAGGUGGUCGGAGUUUGGCGAUGGCCGGCCGCCGCUGCCCGCGGAGCAGACAGCGGUGCCACCUCUUUUGGGUAGUUUUUCAUGUUAUUUAAUUUGGUUAUGAUGAGAGAAGUCCAAUGGUGUGAAGUUUGUAAUUUUUGGAGGAGUUUUGGUUAGGUUGGGAUUUUUCGGAGAUUGGAGAACUUGGCGGUUGAUAGAACAGAUCCGACCAUUCGAUUUCCUUGUUUAUGGUCCUAAAGUGCUAGAAUCAAUGAGGUGAGGUUCUGGUUGAAGUUUGGUGAAAAUCCAAUUAGCUUAACCAAAGCUAGGAUAGUGGGUUAGGCGGAAGAUUUUCGGGAUAUUAUGACACGACCCACCCCGAAUUUCACCCUGAAACCCAGAGUAAGUCGUGCGGGGACCACCUCCAAGGAAAAUUUACUGAAAAGAUUAAGCAAAUCUCCCUUGCAGAUGGACAACCCUAAGUCGAAAAUUUCAUAUUACACUCUUAAUUUAACGCUUCUGAAUAUCACAUAAUAUACAAAAAUUACUAAAGUAUUCAGAGCUACUAAACACAAGC